rnacentral:rRNA from 1 species
UUGAUUAUAGCUCAGAUUCAGGCGCUGGCGGAUCUUUACAUGCAAGUCAGGCAGCAGCACGGACUUCGGUCCUGGUGGCGAGUGGCGAACGGGUGAGUAAUGUAUCGAACGUGCCUGAUAGCGGGGAUAACUACGCGAAAGCGUAGCUAAUACCCGCAUACGCCCUUCGGGAAAGCGGGGGACCUUCGGGCCUCGCACUAUUAGAGCAGCCGAUAUCGGAUUAGCUAGUUGGUGGGUAACAGCUCCCCUGCGCAAGGCGGUGAUCCGUAGCUGGUUUGAGAGGACGACCAGCCACACUGGGACGAGCAGCCCAGACUCCUACAGGAGAGCAGCAGUGGGAAUUUUGGACAAUGAAACCUGAUCCAAUACCCGCGUGUGCGAUGAAGGCCUUCGGGUUAUCGCUUGCACGGCGGAAAGAAACGGCGCAGGAUAUCCCGUGCAACUGACAGUACCUACAGAAUAAGCACCGGCUAACUACGUGCCAGCAGCCGCGGUAAUACGUAGGGUGCAGGCGUUAAUCGGAAUUACUGGGCGUAAAGCGUGCGCAGGCGGUUCGGAAGAAAGAUGUGAAAUCCGAAACGCUUCGAUUGCAUUUUUAACUAUUGAGCUAGAGUGUGUGUCAGAGGGAGGUGGAAUUCCGCGUGUAGCAGUGAAAUGCGUAGAUAUGCGGAGGAACACCGAUGGCGAAGGCAGCCUCCUGGGAUAACACUGACGCUCAUGCACGAAAAGCGUGGGAGCAAACAGGAUUAGAUACCCUGGUAGUCCACGCCCUAAACGACGUCAACUAGCUGUUGGGGCCUUCGGGCCUUGGUAGCGCAGCCUUGUGAUGAAGUUGACCGCCUGGGAAAUACGGUCUGGAAUUAAAAACUCAAAGGAAUUGACGGGGACCCGCACAAGCGGUGGAUGAUGUGGAUUAAUUCGAUGCAACGCGAAAAACCUUACCUACCCUUGACAUGUCUGGAAUCCCGAAGAGAUUUGGGAGUGCUCGCAAGAGAACCGGAACACAGGUGCUGCAUGGCUGUCGUCGGCUCGUGUCGUGGAUGUUGGGUUAAGUCCCGCAACGAGCGCAGCCUUGUGUUUGCGUUGCUACGAGGCACUCUAAUGAGACUGCCGGUGACAAACCGGAGGAAGGUGGGGAUGACGUCAAAGUCCUCAUGGCCAUAUGGGUAGGGCUUCACGUCAUACAAUGGUCAAGACCAGAGGGUCGCCAACCCGCGAGGGCCAAUCCCAGAAACCCCGAUCGUAGUCGGAUCGCAGAUCUGCAACUCGACUGCGUGAAGUCGGAAAUCGCUAGUAAUCGCGGAUCAGCAUGUCGCGGUGAAUACGUUUCCAGUUCAUUUCCGCGCCCGUCACACCAUGGGAGUGGGUUUACCAGAAGUAGUUAGCCUAACCGUAAGGAGGGCGAUUACCACGGUAGGAUUCAUGACUGGGGUGAAGUCGUAACAAGGUAACU